GAUGACAAGGGAUCAGCCCUCUGUGCUCUUCCCAAGCCUGGCAGGUUCCUGGGCCCUCAGCUGGUCUAAGUUUCUUAAAUAAGCUAGUGGACAGAAGGAGGAAACCCUGCCAAUGACUGAUUUCUGAAUUUCCUCUACCCAGGAAGCUGAAGUUUCAGUGUCCAAUUUAAUUUAGAAAAAAAAAAAUACCAAAAUAAUGCUGUUUCUUAUUUUCCAGUAUUGAGUAGAAACUCCAUACCAGGACAUUUCCUUAUUUUUCUGGAGUAGAUCCAGGCCUGAAAAGAGGAUUCUCUGGAGUUUCCACACAAAAGGUCCCACUCACUUUUGUUUUGCAUGAAGUGCAACAUACUGGAGAUCCAAUGAGAAGCUAUGAACUCCUGGCAAAAGAUGGCCGCAUGCCAGGCCAUGUCCAGGAGGCUUUGCAUGCACGUAAUUCUCAGAACAAUCCAUAGAGAGAUAACUGCAUUAUUUCUCCUACUGGAAAGAUGAGGAAAUGGACCUGGAAGGUCGCUCAGAAGAGAAAUGGACCAAAUGGCUUGGCAACAUCUCUGCAUUAUGGAGAUGGGGAGUGCAGGGUGUGGGGGAAUAUGGCCCCGAAAUGUGGAGAACGGAACUCCGGAGGUCAAAAGGAAGUGCAUGUAUGAAUUCUUCCCCAUCUCAUGUUUCUGAAGAAUUGGGAAAGAUGUGAACUGCAGGUAAACAUGGUCAAAGCAACAUCGGACCCCAGAGGUGGAUUUUCCAUGGAGCUAAUGGGGCCCUUGUACCUAAUUUUAAAAUCCUAAUUCUGUCUCUUUGAGAGAGUGUGCUUGUUUUCUAUUCCCGUCUAACAAAUUAUCACAAACUUGGGGGCUUAAAACAAUACCACUUUAUAGUUCACAGUUCUGCAGGGCGGAAGUCUGGCAUGGUGUGGCUGGAGUCUCUGCUUACGGACUGCGAAGGCUGAAAGCAAGCUGUUGACCAGGCUGAGCUCCUAUCUGGAGGCACGGGAGAAAAAUUUGCUUCCAAUCUCAUUCUUGCUGCUCACACAAUGCAGUUCCUUAAGGCUGUAGGACUGAAGCCCUAUUUCCCUUCAGGCUGUCUGCUGGAGGUAGCUCUCAGUCCCCUCAGACUGAGGUAGUCCCCUCCUACCACAUGGGCCCCUGCAUCCUCACGGCGGUGACAGUGCAUCAAAUCCUUCUUGUUAAAUCUGAGCUCCUCCUUUCCAAUCAACUGGAGAAACUUCUCUGCUUUUAAUGGACUAGUGAUUAGGUCAGCCAUAUUAUCUUCCUAUCUUAAGGCCAGCAAUCUAAUCACAGCACUAAAAUCCAUCAUAUUCCCAGUCCCAAGGAAUAGGCAGGUAGACAUCACAGUACGUGACAGGGGUGAGAAAUCUCUGUGGGCCAUUUUAGAAUUAUGCCCAACACAAAUAGGCACCAAAUUGUAUAAUCUUCAGGCCCCACAAAACUUGGA